rnacentral:tRNA from 1 species
GCGGGUGUGGCGGAACCGGCAGACGCACCGGAUUUAGGUUCCGGCGCCGCAAGGCGUGGGGGUUCGAAUCCCCCCACCCGCACCA